rnacentral:rRNA from 1 species
UACGAAGGGGGCUAGCGUUGCUCGGAAUCACUGGGCGUAAAGGGUGCGUAGGCGGGUUUUUAAGUCAGAGGUGAAAUCCUGGAGCUCAACUCCAGAACUGCCUUUGAUACUGAAAGUCUUGAGUACGGGAGAGGUGAGUGGAACUGCGAGUGUAGAGGUGAAAUUCGUAGAUAUUCGCAAGAACACCAGUGGCGAAGGCGGCUCACUGGCCCGGUACUGACGCUGAGGUGCGAAAGCGUGGGGGAGCAAACAGG